rnacentral:tRNA from 1 species
ACCGAAGUAGUUCAGUUGGGAGAGCGUUAGGUUAGACUAUAGAUUGGAAGGUAACUGGUUCGAUCCCGGGGUUCGACA